AAUGAGGCACCCAUCUGUCCUGACAUGCUGGAUUAGAUUUAACUAACAUUGUCACAGUUGAAGCAAAAAAGAUCUCUUCCACGGCGGUGCUUUUUCACCGUGGCUCAACGCCCCUGUCUGUAGGAGGGAGGAAGAAAGGUAGAAUUUGUUUACAGAGAAGAAACUUUGGCUCUCAAUGACAUCAACAGGACAGCAAGCAAUUAUGUGAAGCAGCUGGGUUACAAGGAGGACUGAUCACAUGUUAUUACACGCCGAGGAAUUAUGGAUUAGGAAAAGAUGAACAAUGUAAUUAUGUUCAUGGAGUGUCACUUAUUAAUUUUUAAGGUUGGCUCGGGACCUUGUAUGGUGAAUAGCAUCAGCUGGCAAGGAGUCUAACAAACAGU
rnacentral:lncRNA from 1 species